rnacentral:rRNA from 1 species
GAUGAACGCUGGCGGCGUGCCUAAUACAUGCAAGUCGAGCGAACAGACGAGGAGCUUGCUCCUCUGACGUUAGCGGCGGACGGGUGAGUAACACGUGGAUAACCUACCUAUAAGACUGGGAUAACUUCGGGAAACCGGAGCUAAUACCGGAUAAUAUAUUGAACCGCAUGGUUCAAUAGUGAAAGACGGUUUUGCUGUCACUUAUAGAUGGAUCCGCGCCGCAUUAGCUAGUUGGUAAGGUAACGGCUUACCAAGGCGACGAUGCGUAGCCGACCUGAGAGGGUGAUCGGCCACAAUGGAACUGAGACACGGUCCAGACUCCUACGGGAGGCAGCAGUAGGGAAUCUUCCGCAAUGGGCGAAAGCUUGACGGAGCAACGCCGCGUGAGUGAUGAAGGUCUUCGGAUCGUAAAACUCUGUUAUUAGGGAAGAACAAAUGUGUAAGUAACUAUGCACGUCUUGACGGUACCUAAUCAGAAAGCCACGGCUAACUACGUG